UACGUAGGUGGCAAGCGUUGUCCGGAUUUACUGGGCGUAAAGAGCGCGCAGGCGGUCGUUCAAGUCGGGGGUGAAAGCCCCCGGCUCAACUGGGGAGGGUCACGCGAUACUGAUCGACUCGAAGGCAGGAGAGGGUAGUGGAAUUCCCGGUGUAGUGGUGAAAUGCGUAGAUAUCGGGAGGAACACCAGUGGCGAAGGCGACUACCUGGCCUGUUCUUGACGCUGAGGCGCGAAAGCUAGGGGAGCAAACGGG
rnacentral:rRNA from 1 species